GCAGCUUUAGACGCUGAAUCCACUAAAAAAAAUAUUUACACAAAAAAAAUCUUCAUAUUCCUAUUGCUGAUGGGUUGGUUACAGCAUGAGUGCAAGCAGAACAAAAAGUGUAUGGUUUCAGUUCAGAUAGGAAAUCAAAACGUGAGUCAACACCAGCAGCAUUAUUCAAUUCACAUCCAAACCAUAUGCAAGAUUCAGACAAUAUUUUUUAUGGGUGAAGUAAAGUCCGACGGACGCAGACGAAUAAGAAGAGAAGAAGGAGAAGAAGAAGAAGAAAAAAAAUCGAAGAA